UAUCCUUACAAUUCUAUUGUAUCAGAAGCUAUGAGAUGUUCUCGUAACGAACAAGUGCGAUUGUUUUUAAGUUCCUGAGAUUUCACAUUUUGUUAAUAUCGGAGGUGUUUUGAAAUUUUUUAUCGUAGGAAUUUUACAAUUGUUUGAUUUUCAAACAAUGUUUCCUAUUUUAUAGAUGUAGAUAGAUAGGUUCAGUAGAUAGUAAGGUACGAAGGUGAGUACCAAUCCUAGAUGUGCAGAUGGAAAGUGGAGAGAUGACAGAGAGGUAUAGACAAACAAGAUUGUUAUUUAAGUACAAUAUAAUGCAUACAUUUUUGAACCUAAGAGAUAUCGGUAGUGAUUGAGUUGAAGGUAUCAAGUUAAAAUUGAGCAAAAGCUAUUUUCCGUGUUUUUUGGCCGAGGUCUGCGUGGUCAAAGACGAUGAAGUAACAAUAAAAGUGCUCAAGUUCUCAACGCAGAAAGUACAAUAUUGGAAUUUGUCUCCAGUUAUAUAUGAUCAUUGGUCGGCGUGGCUUCGUUUCUCUCGAUUUGAUUGUAUGACCUUGUUUGUGUACAAUUGACUACACUCUAUGUUGAAAUUACUAGAAUUUAAUGCAGGUAAUAAAGUGUAAUUGCUCGUUUUGAAUUUUAAUUUUGAAAUGUUUCCAAGUUACAUACUGAAUCAUAUUAUAACCAGGACUGUACAAUUUCUAGUCUAUGCUACAGUACUAUCACUAACCAAGUCACUAGUAUUUAAAUCAGACACAACAUUUCCAUUUGAUUUGAUUAUAUCUUUCAUAAUUACUACAUGACUUGGUUAUUUACUCAGAUACAACUCUUUGUUUGUAAUGUGAUUUCCAUUACAGAUAAAGACAUUUUCGAAAAAGGUGUCUGCAUAUGACUCUACUUUUCCCAAACAUGUUCUAUUGGAUACAAAUCUGGGCAAACUGCACCUGCAAGUUAAAAUUUGCUAAGCUGUAUUUGAAAUUGCCCACCAAAUACCUAAACUUGUUAGUUAUAUUUUUCAGAUAGGCAUUCCAUUUUACAUGACUGUCAAGCAUUUUACCGAGAUAUUUGACUAUGUUGAAGUACUUCAACUGUAUAACAUUAUUUUCCAGAGUAGUAAGUAGAUGAGUUUCGUGAAUGAAACUUUUUUUUCAGAUUUGAAAUUAAUAGUUCACUACUGAAAUAUUCCAUAAAGUGUAUCUAUGAUUUUUUGUUUCAGGAAUCUUCAGUUUCUAUCUUCCAAAAAAAAGUGUAAUCAGCAAAGCCUGUAACUUCUACAGACAUAGGUGGGUCAAACAGGGAGUUAAUGUAAAGAAUAAACAAAUUAGGACCCAAAACGAAAGUUCUCUCACUGCUCAUUUCAUUUCCUAUUUUGACACACUGUUUUCUAUUACUCAGAUAGCUUCUCAUCAGUUGAUGUGGAAUAUCUCAAUCUGGGUUCAAGGCAAUGGUAACUUCUGGCUUACUGUUGAUUUUUUCAAUAUCAGUGUGAAAAAAAUUGAUGGUCUGAAUUUCGUGUAGCUGACAUAGCUAAUUGGCACUGAUAUACAUAUUUCAAUUUAUAAGCAUAACAUAUGCUUGUGCUGUGAUUAUUUUGUUCCUCUAAAUGACAAUUAAAAACAUAUCCUGCACAUUCAAUUGAAUUACCACUUCGUAUUUACCAUAAAUCAAACACUCUGGAUGCAAGGAAGCAAAUAUAUCACCAAAUAAAUCAGUUGAAAAUGUC